GUGGGGAGGGUCAGGACUGGUCUGACACUGGCUCUUCUCCAUCUCCCCAGGGCCGGUGGUUCCUGCUUUCGGGAGUGUGGGGGUCGCGCCCUCCUCACCAACGUGUCCUCAGUGGCACUGGGCUCACGCCGGGUCGGGGGGCUGCUGCCUCCAGGUGGCGGGGCUGCAAGAGCCGGGCCUGGCCUGUCCUACUGUGUGUGGGUUGUCUCGGCCACUGAGGAGCUACAGCCCUGUGCUCCCGGGACCCUCUGUCCCCCACUCACCCUCACCUUCUCCCCUGACAGCAGCACCCCCUGCACGCUGAGCUACGUCCUGGCGUUUGAUGGAUUCCCACGCUUCCUGGACACUGGUGUUGUCCAGUCGGACCGCAGCCUCAUAGCUGCCUUCUGUGGCCAGCGACGGGACAGGCCCCUCACUGUUCAGGCCCUGUCUGGUA
rnacentral:lncRNA from 1 species